rnacentral:rRNA from 1 species
AUGAAGGUCAAUGGAAGGAUGGUGGAAAGAUACUGGCAAUCCGCUGUGGACGACAUGUAUGAAAAAAGACUGAAGGAUGUUUUAUGUCCGUGUCGAAAAUGCAAAGGAAUAGUCAGGCUCGACCCCUUUGAGGGUGGCACAUUCAAGGCGCACCUGCUCAUGCAUGGUUUCAUGCAUGGCCAUACUCGGUGGAUAAGUGAAGAUGAUGAUGUUGAGGAUGUCGACGGGGCAGGAAAUAACGACAUGGGGCUACCAGACGAAGAGAUGACCGAUUAUGUGCCCGAAGAGGAAGACGGCCUCGGAAAUGUUGAUGGCGAAGAGGAAGUUCAAGGCGGAGAAGACGCGGACACGCCGCCGUCUUCGUCGCUACUAAGUUCAGCCAUGCAGGACCCGCAUGUUCGAGACCUGCUUCGCAAGAAGACGAGUAGCGACAGAGCUGCUUCUACACAGGAGGCCAAACUGGCGCAACUGGAGGUAGACUCGACGACUCCUUUGUAUGAUGGUUGCAAUCCCGAGGUGACCCGCUUGAGUUUCACACUAGAACUUCUAAAUACGAAGGCAAAAAACAAAUGG